UAGGAUGCUGUGAUGAGGCUUUAUGUGGACUAGAGUUUCUGAUACCUGGUCUUUUGUACCAGUGGUUGAAGACUACCCCUUGGCUGUCUGAGCUCUCGA